CCAGACUCCUACGGGAGGCAGCAGUGGGGAAUAUUGCGCAAUGGACGAAAGUCUGACGCAGCGACGCCGCGUGAGGGAUGAAGGUUUUCGGAUCGUAAACCUCUGUCAGGAGGGAAGAAAGCGCAUGGCGCCAAUCAGCCAUGCGUUGACGGUACCUCCAAAGGAAGCGCCGGCUAACUCCGUGCCAGCAGCCGCGGUAAUACGGAGGGCGCGAGCGUUAAUCGGAAUUACUGGGCGUAAAGCGCGCGUAGGCUGUUGUGUAAGUUGGGGGUGAAAUCCCACGGCUCAACCGUGGAACAGCCCUUGAUACUGCGCGACUUGAAUCCGGGAGAGGGUGGCGGAAUUCCAGGUGUAGGAGUGAAAUCCGUAGAUAUCUGGAGGAACAUCAGUGGCGAAGGCGGCCACCUGGACCGGUAUUGACGCUGAGGCGCGAAAGCGUGGGGAGCAAACAGGAUUAGAUACCCCAGUA
rnacentral:rRNA from 1 species